rnacentral:rRNA from 1 species
UACGUAGGUGGCAAGCGUUGUCCGGAAUUAUUGGGCGUAAAGAGCGUGUAGGCGGCCAGGUAGGUCUGCUGUGAAAACUCGAGGCUUAACCUCGAGCUGUCGGCGGAAACCAUCUGGCUAGAGUCCGGAAGAGGAGAAUGGAAUUCCCGGUGUAGCGGUGAAAUGCGCAGAUAUCGGGAAGAACACCCGUGGCGAAGGCGGUUCUCUGGGACGGUACUGACGCUGAGACGCGAAAGCGUGGGGAGCCAACAGG